ACCAGUUAAAAGACAUAUUUUUCAGCUGAUAUCCUGCUGUUGUUAUGAAGGGAAUUGAUUCUAAUUGCCAGUUUCCUGCAUUUUUCUUAAACAUUUAGCCUUUGCAAGGGAAAAGAAAAAAAAAAAAAAAAAAAAAAAAAAAAAAAAAACCUCACGAUGAAAAUUCCACACGUUACUAGGAUUACUUCAUAAACAGCACAUUCUUGACUCUGGAAUUCCCCCCAGACUCUGAACUGAGCUUACCCAUACAGAAAAAAACUGAAUUCAUUUGGAAAUGGGAGGAAAGCGGGGCAAAAUGUUAUCUUGGAGCUAUGACAUUUGGCUUCCAGUGGCCACACAAAAUGGACACACAUCAAAUGUCAGGCAGGCUGAUAAGGGACAGGAAGUAACCCUGUCAACACAACCAGCCCAACCUUCCCUGGCGGCAAAACCCUGGAUGCAGCAAUGCCUGGGCUCUAACUGCCCAUCACCCAGGGCAUGAGCAAAGCUGCGCCUGCAGGAAGAGCAUGGAGAGAUGAGACUUCAGUGAGCUUCUAUUCCAAGACUUUGGGGAAAAAGUUCAGAUGGGUGACACAGAGACAGAGACGAGGACUCAUGGCUCCAAUCUAACCAUGGCACACGCUGCGUUCUCCUUCUGGAUUGAUGCCUCUUCCUCUUGGUUUUGGAAAACAGCAUUUAUACAGUACUUGAGACCACAUUCUUCUCCAUGUGUUGGCAGAGAAGCCUGGCCCAUAGAAAAAUCUCCAGCUUGCUUGCAGACCAAAAUCCAAAUGGAUUGUGGGGCUUUUUGUUGUUGUUGUUGUUUUGGGGGGGUGCACUUGCGGCAUAUGUAG
rnacentral:lncRNA from 1 species